UACGAAGGGGGCUAGCGUUGCUCGGAAUCACUGGGCGUAAAGCGCACGUAGGCGGAUUGCUAAGUCAGGGGUGAAAUCCUGGAGCUCAACUCCAGAACUGCCCUUGAUACUGGCGGUCUCGAGUCCGGGAGAGGUGAGUGGAACUGCGAGUGUAGAGGUGAAAUUCGUAGAUAUUCGCAAGAACACCAGUGGCGAAGGCGGCUCACUGGCCCGGUACUGACGCUGAGGUGCGGAAAGCGUGGGGAGCAAACAGG
rnacentral:rRNA from 1 species